rnacentral:pre_miRNA from 1 species
AGCCUUCUGUAUCCUUGCUGAGAUUUCUUCACAGACCAGACCACAAGGGCUGAUGAGACUUUCCGGAUAAGUGAAGCG